GUAGGUGACAUUUUUCAAGUAUUAUUUCAUUAAAAUAAUAACUCAUCACCAUGUAAACAUCUUUAGGAAUUUCAAAUGAUGCCCAAUUAAGAAAUUGUAAUGGGGGGCCAGGGAUUUAACUCCAUGGCACCACACCUGCCUUGCAAGUGCAAGGUCCUCAGUUCAAUCCCCAGUACCGAAAAAAAAAAAAGAAGUUAUAAUGGGGGCCAGUAUGGUAUGCACACCUGAUAUCCUAGCACUUGGGAGGCAGGAGGAUUGUGCUGAGUUCAAGGCCAGCCUGGGCUACAUAGUGAGUUCAUAGCUAGCCUGAACUACAUAGUGAGACCCUGUCUAAAAAAGGUUAUAUUGGAUCCUAGCUAGGUUGACCAAUAAUCAUUCUUCAAGAACAUCUGGGUAGAGCACUCUACAUUAUGAUGUCACUAGGCUGCACUAUGACAUAAAGACUCCUCAUUUAUUCAUUCAGCAAACAUCAGUUGACUAUCCAUUCAUGGCCUGACUAUGCUCCAGUGUGGCCUGGUUCCCAACAGGACUGGAACAGGGCUCUACCAUUGUCCUUUAGUCCUGGUGUGGAAAGGUUUGGGCAACAUGAGGCCGGCUGUCGGGAGCUGUGCAGGGCUCAGUGACAGGAGAGUGGUACAAUGCAGCCUGUACCUGUCAGCCCGGAAGUGCAGGAGCCAGGCAGGCUAAGGAAUUCUGCAGCACUCUGCACACCUCCGCUUCCAGUACACACUUCCAUGUGCCACCCACUCACCUUUCUCUUACUGUUACAGAUACCUGAGAUACUCAGCUUAGAGAGAAGGAAAGCUUAUUUUGGGUCUCAUUGUGCAGUUCAGGCUGGCCUCAAACUCACUUUGUACCCCAUGCUGGCCUGCAACUCAUCAUGUUCCUCCUGCCUCAGCUUCCCGAGUUCUGGGAUUACAGGCAUGUGCCAUCACGCACACGGCUGGGCUCGUGGUUUUCGAGCUGAGUCUGUGAUUGGUUGGCCCUGUUGCCUUGACAGGAACAUGUGGCAGGGCACAGCCGGUCAUCCUGUCUGUGUUUGGGGGACACCUGAGAUCCGAACCAGAGCACCCACUUUGCUGUACCCUCCCAGAGAUGCCUUGAAAGCGGAACUGUUGGACUCAUGUUGACCAGUGCUUGACCAGCGUCCAUUGCGAGCAUGAAUAAAGUCCAUUUACGCUUUCCCCAUGACUAACUCCUGAUCCUCCCAAGCCCUGGACUCCUAAAGAGCAACAGGGCCUCUGCUGUGCUGGAAGAGUCAGGGUUUGGCCUGACUGCUGAUUUCUUUCUGCUAAAUUUUACACCCCCUUUGCCACCUUCCCCCAGGACCCCGUGGGCCAUGAGAAUGGUAGAUGCUGAGACACAAGACUCCAAGAGCCAGCACAAGGAUGGAGGCUUGUGACACAGCGCGGUGGACAGGAGUGGAGGGGCCAGUCCUGCUUUGGCUCCUUUGAGCCGUGCGGCCUCAGCUGUAUUCCUAACCUCAUUGCUGCCAUGGUACAGUGGGGUCUCCAGACUCCACCUGGUUGGAUUGUGUGAGGACAGAGACCAGCAUAUGGAGAACCCAGGCUUUGGCCAAAGCCAGAUCAUUUCCACAGCACGAGAUGAACCACAUUUGGAAGAAGAACUGCUCCUGAACUUGGAGAACUAAAAACAAAACAAAAAAAUUUCUAAGAGUCUUAAAGGCACAGCAAGUUUGUAAAUUGGGUGACACCUCCGCCCUCAAGGAAGCCACAGUUAUUCAUGAGUAGCAGACCUCGACUUCAGCACACAUGGAAAUGGUUUGCAUGCCGACAUCGCCGGCCAGGUGGGUGACACCAGAUGGUCACCGUGACCAACAGCAGGAGCACACAGCCUGGAUCACCCAUCUUGAAGACACCCCAGGAACCCAUAAAUAAACCAGCUUUGGAU
ensembl:lncRNA